rnacentral:tRNA from 1 species
AUGUCUGUAGCUUAAUUGGAUAGGAAGCGCCGGCGCAGUAGUCGGAGGUGCAGGUUCGAGUCCUGCCAGGCAUA